AACGUUAAUACGUUAGUUCCAACAAAACCAAAAACACAAUCCAACAGAGUAAACCGGUCGAGUGUACCAAAUUUUUUCUUCUUCUUCUUCUUUUUUUCGGUUUGGUGAACUCGUGGUCGAGUGACUGUGAGCUUGAAAGGCAGAGGUGUUCUUGUGGUGAAGUCGAGUGAAGCGAAUGUGACGGUCAAGUGAAACGGAGACGAAUGAGAGGUGGUGGUGGCAAAGAGACGAAAGCAGCGGCGAUCGAGUGAUGGAAUCGAACACUUGAGGAAGUUUGGUGUGUGGAAAAAGAUGUUGAGGUCGAGUAUAUGAAGAAGAUGGUGAGGAGGUCGAGUGGUUGAGAGUAUGAGAGUUGGUUUGUUGGUGAUGAUGAAUGAGGAGGGAUGGGGUAGAGUUUAAUAGGUGUGGAGGAGAUAACGAGGUCGAGUAAGUGAUAGGUGAGGGAUGGUGAUGGCGUCGAGGUCGAGUGAUGGGUUGAGAUAGGAUAGGGUGAGGGAGUCGAGUGGUUGUGAGAAGAAGGUGUUGGAUUUCUUGUCUGUUGGUUAGGAGCAUGGGAGACAUAGGGUGCAGCAGUGGGUUCCUCGUUUGUCUCCUUGUUAUGAGUUAUUAUUCUUUCUUCACUAGGAAAGUCUCAGGAAAUCCAACAAUCUUCUGUAAACUUUAUAAACUCCCAGUAAGACUCUGUAGCUUCUGUUGGUCGAGUGAAAUGAUGAUUUAAAAGUUUUUAGGUUUUAAACAUCACUCACACUCGACCAAUGUACUCGAUCUCUAGGCCAUCAGUAGAGUAAAAGUUUUGAAUUUUUACUCUACCUUCACGUUAUUCCCAUUU
rnacentral:sRNA from 1 species